CACGGGGGGAGCAAGCGUUGUUCGGAAUCACUGGGCGUAAAGGGCGUGUAGGCGGUCAGGUAAGUGAGAUGUGAAAUGCCCCGGCUCACCCGGGGACCGGCAUCUCAUACUGCUUGGCUUGAGUACGGGAGAGGAUGUGGGAAUUCCUGGUGUAGCGGUGAAAUGCGUAGAUAUCAGGAGGAACACCGGUGGCGAAGGCGCACAUCUGGCCCGAUACUGACGCUGAGGCGCGAAAGCUGGGGGAGCAAACGGG
rnacentral:rRNA from 1 species